GCCAAGGCAGAGGAAGGGCAUGGCGAGGAAGAUGAGCAAGGCCACGAAGAGCUUCCAGACGAUGGUGCUCCCGCGCCAGCCAGCCAGGUUCCCGCACCAGAUGGAGGACAGGACUUGCUGGCAGAUGGGGCCAGGCGGCUCAGAAGAGGGGCCACCCCCUUGCCGUGCGACCUUGGUCAGGCCCCACCCCUCUUGGGGCCUUGGGUUCCUGGUCUGUGAUGAGACACUCAACUCCCAGAUGCUCCUGGGCUCUCGGAGGCUACGUGCGUGUCUCUAAGUCAGGCAGUGACCCUGAUGGGAACUCCAAGACAUCACUUGAAACGUCAGCCCUUGAGGGAGCCGGUCUGCUCUUGCUGGACAGAGGGAGACACGGAUGUCUGACAACAGGAGGCGAUUAGACCACAGCUCUACGCAGGCCGCAGGCAGAGCUGAGCGUGAGACCCAGACGUCUGGUCUGAAGGGGGUCAGGGCGGGGAGUAACGGGCCCUCCUAGAGCUGGGAAGAGAUUGGGGCCUUAGACUCAGCCCCCCUCGAUGUCCUAGCCUGCCCCAAGCUUCGCCAAGAGCCUUCCUUUACCAUGGCUCCCCAGCCCCAACCCGCUGUCCCUGCCCCCCCCACCUCAGGACCACGCAGGCUGGGGCCCACGGGGGCCCCACAGGAUCACGGGGCUACACGGGAGGCUGCUCCUCAUUGAGAUCCGAGCAGGUCCUGAGGCAG